CGGGGCGGGGGCUCCAGGCUGCCAGGAAAGCUCUGAAGAACUGACCACCCCUUUCUCUUGGACGUCCUAAGGCGUCAGACCUCAAGAUAGAUGAAGCUGCAUCACAUAGUGUGGCUGGUGCGCAGGACAGGUGAGCUCCGAGCAACACAGACCCUGCGGCUCUGCUCCGUCUGGGUUGGAUUCGCUCUCGUGGCUUCCUAGAUGGGCCUUCCUCCACUGCUGCACUGCGGAGAGGCCGGCAGGCGCCACUCCUCACCCACAGUAGUCUCCUUGCAAAAAGCUAGGCGCGCAGCCUGGCUGAGAGCCCAGAGCGUCACCUACCCACACCUGGCGUGGCCCUUCUGUAGGAGACGGGAUUGGCUUCUGCAAGGCCAAAACCUAUGUCCGACUUCCUCGAAGAGGAUCUCACUCAGCUGUCCUCACAAAGUUUGGAGCCAGAAAGUCCCAUGAUCGCAAGGAAAUUCACUGAACUUCGGUUUCGCUUACGAGGCAUUUUGAGAUUUUUCUUGCUUUGCCAGAGGAAGAGGAGAGGAACUGUAAAGAAUGCUUUUUAUUCCUGUGGAGUGGAAUAGUCUGUAUCCACAUUGAAGCUUUCUUCUCUCCUGUAUCCUGGAGUUGGUCAGAGUUGGUUCCUCGAAUGCGGCAGCACUACCAUCUCUCAGCAUCUCGAUAAAUUGCCCAGGUUGGCCUCGAACUUGAAAUCUUCCUUCAUCAGCCUCCCGCGUAGUUGGGAUGACAGGAGUCCAGCUCAACGAAGAAUUCCAUGAGGACGGGAGGUGAGAAGUAGCUAGAGUCAGCUGGAAAGAAAGGAAGGAGCCCUACCUUGGAGACCAAUUUGUAGGCUAGAUCCACCUUCUGUGUUAAACUUUGUCACCAGUGGACACAGGGGCCACUCUUGACACCAAAGGCACUUGAGGCCACUUUGGGGCUCAGAGGAGCUGAAGGGAGUCAGCAAGUCUGCCAAACAAAGAUCCCAAGAGUUGAGCAAUCUCCUGAAUGCAACAAUUUAUUGAGCAUUUACCACAUUCAUAGAAAGAGAGAAGGGAUCUCACCCAGACAUAAGCUAGGAGCUGGAGGUGGCACUGACAGUGCAGGACUUUCUUCCACCUGGCCUACACACUGUGUGAACACCGUGGGCCCAACAGGCAGCACUGGAACUCAGCGAUCUGCAGGCUGAGCACUGGAACUCAUGGCGAUCCAGAGACCAGUACAGCCAGGGAGCCAAGUGGGGAAUCCGGAUGGGCAGAGUGAUGGUCACAGACUGUUGCAGAGCUCAAGCAGCAGCUCCUCAAAGAGCAAUAUGAGGGCAGAGUCCAUAAGCAUUAAGCCAGAAGACCAAGCCCAAGAGCAGCUCAAGACUUCAUCUUUUAUGCUGUGGGGAAGUUGGUGCAAACAACAUGUGUUAAUCUUGACAGUAAAAAUAUAUUUUUUAGAAAACAUUUUUAUAAGUUUCUCAAAAGGGGUUCACAAAGUAAGAUUUUAGCAUGCAGGCCAUAUGGUUAUCACACAAUAGGGUUGACACUCAAGCACAGUGGUUGUGUGGUUAUCACAUGGGUCAGAAAGCUCAGACUCAGAAAGUAAGUUUGAAACAAGACAGAAGCAAAGGAUGGCUUCUGUCCUGCUCACAUUACACUUUAAUCUAGGUCCAGGAUAUCCUGGUCUAAGUGGAGAAGGAGAAGUAACAAAGUAACCCAUAGUAAGUCCCCUGACCUAUACUCAGAAGUCUUAAGCAACCUUUGUCCACUCUGUCCACACCAUAAUCAUCAUGUCAUUACCAAUGCUGUUUUAACCACUCCCCGCCACCAUUCCUGUGGGUUUGGGGCACCAUGAAAGUUUCUCCAAGGGCCAUAAAAAGUCAAAAACUGCCACUAAUUGGGAGGGCAGAAUCAAACCUCUCAUUGGCAAGAGCAACCUUUAGACCAACCCCUCAGUCCCUGCCCAAUCCUUAGUGCUUAAAACCUUCACCACCAAGCCUCUUCAAGGCAGGACCUUUUCUCACGGGUCCACUUCCACCUUGUACUUUCAGUAAAUCUUUGAUCUUUCUGCUCCUUUUGAGUGCCCUGCUCAAUUCUUCAUUGAGACACCAAGAACCUAGAUAAGAUUCUUGACUCAGUAAGAGGGGGACAGAAAAUUAUUUUUUCUUCCCCUGCUCUAACCUAUUUUCUCUUCUGUCUUUGGAAGCUCAGCAGCAACAAAACUUCAGGGAGCAAAAGAGACCCCUCUCCUCCCAGCAGCCUGGACUCUCAAGAGCCACCUUCGCUUGGGGCUGGGAACAUGAUUCACUGAUAGAACAUUUGCCUAGAAUGCAUGAGGCCCUAGGUUCAAUCCCCAAAAUGGGGUGGGGGAGCCCUGCUCAUGGAUUGGAAGACAAAUCUGUGGAGAGAGUAGAUUAGUUGUUGCUUAGAACUGAGGUGAUAAGAAGAUUUGAAAGGUGAUGGCUAAGUGUUACAAAGUUUUUUUGGGGGUAAUAAAAUGUUCUAAAAUAGCUUGUGACAAUGGACGCACAACUAUGAAUAUACUAAAAGCCAUUGAGUUAGGAACUUCCAAUGGGUGAAUUGUAUAGUAC
rnacentral:lncRNA from 1 species